rnacentral:misc_RNA from 1 species
GCAGACCACAUAAACUUCUAGAGUUAUUUCGUGAACUCUGCAGGAAGAACGAUAUGGAUGAUCAGAUAGGAAAAGCUAUAAAGGCUCUUGGUAAGGAAGAGCUUCAGUUGCUUUUGGAAUAUAUCCGGGAAUGGAACACAAAGCCAAAGUUUUGUCAAAUUGCACAAUAUGUUCUUUCCCGGGCAUACAGUGUUCUCCCAGCUACCGAGAUUGUUGAGGUACCUGGAUAUAAAGAACUUCUUAAUGGUCUUAUUCCUUACACUCAGAGGCAUUUCAAUAGAUUAGAUAGAUUAGCGAGAAGCCUAUGCAUUCUCCAGUAUACUUCAGCUGCAAUGUCGGUCAUUCAGCCAGAAGGUAAUGAGGG